GAUACUCAGUCAGUAGAGCAUGAGACUCUUAAUCUCAGGGCUGUGAGUUCAAGUCCUACAUCG
rnacentral:tRNA from 1 species